CCUGGUGAAAUCAGCGCUGUGGAACCACCCGAUCCCAUCCCGAACUCGGAAGUGAAACGCAGCUGCGCCGAUGGUAGUGUGGCUCAAGCCAUGCGAGAGUAGGUCAUCG
rnacentral:rRNA from 1 species